UACGGAGGGAGCUAGCGUUAUUCGGAAUUACUGGGCGUAAAGCGCACGUAGGCGGCUUUGUAAGUAAGAGGUGAAAGCCUGGUGCUCAACACCAGAACUGCCUUUUAGACUGCAUCGCUUGAAUCCAGGAGAGGUGAGUGGAAUUCCGAGUGUAGAGGUGAAAUUCGUAGAUAUUCGGAAGAACACCAGUGGCGAAGGCGGCUCACUGGACUGGUAUUGACGCUGAGGUGCGAAAGCGUGGGGAGCAAACAGG
rnacentral:rRNA from 2 species